GCUAUACAUGCAAGUCGAGCGAACUGAUUAGAAGCUUGCUUCUAUGACGUUAGCGGCGGACGGGUGAGUAACACGUGGGCAACCUGCCUGUAAGACUGGGAUAACUCCGGGAAACCGGAGCUAAUACCGGAUAACAUUUUCUCUUGCAUAAGAGAAAAUUGAAAGAUGGUUUCGGCUAUCACUUACAGAUGGGCCCGCGGUGCAUUAGCUAGUUGGUGAGGUAACGGCUCACCAAGGCAACGAUGCAUAGCCGACCUGAGAGGGUGAUCGGCCACACUGGGACUGAGACACGGCCCAGACUCCUACGGGAGGCAGCAGUAGGGAAUCUUCCGCAAUGGACGAAAGUCUGACGGAGCAACGCCGCGUGAGUGAUGAAGGCUUUCGGGUCGUAAAACUCUGUUGUUAGGGAAGAACAAGUACAAGAGUAACUGCUUGUACCUUGACGGUACCUAACCAGAAAGCCACGGCUAACUACGUGCCAGCAGCCGCGGUAAUACGUAGGUGGCAAGCGUUAUCCGGAAUUAUUGGGCGUAAAGCGCGCGCAGGCGGUUUCUUAAGUCUGAUGUGAAAGCCCACGGCUCAACCGUGGAGGGUCAUUGGAAACUGGGGAACUUGAGUGCAGAAGAGAAAAGCGGAAUUCCACGUGUAGCGGUGAAAUGCGUAGAGAUGUGGAGGAACACCAGUGGCGAAGGCGGCUUUUUGGUCUGUAACUGACGCUGAGGCGCGAAAGCGUG
rnacentral:rRNA from 2 species